rnacentral:sRNA from 2 species
UCCCAACCCAAUGUGAACGUUACCAAACAUGUUGCCUCGGCGGGGUCACGCCCCGGGUGCGUCGCAGCCCCGGAACCAGGCGCCCGCCGGAGGAACCAACCAAACUCUUUCUGUAGUCCCCUCGCGGACGUAUUUCUUACAGCUCUGAGCAAAAAUUCAAAAUGAAUCAAAACUUUCAACAACGGAUCUCUUGGUUCUGGCAUCGAUGAAGAACGCAGCGAAAUGCGAUAAGUAAUGUGAAUUGCAGAAUUCAGUGAAUCAUCGAAUCUUUGAACGCACAUUGCGCCCGCCAGUAUUCUGGCGGGCAUGCCUGUCCGAGCGUCAUUUCAACCCUCGAACCCCUCCGGGGGAUCGGCGUUGGGGAUCGGGACCCCUCACACGGGUGCCGGCCCCGAAAUACAGUGGCGGUCUCGCCGCAGCCUCUCCUGCGCAGUAGUUUGCACAACUCGCACCGGGAGCGCGGCGCGUCCACGUCCGUAAAACACCCAACUUUCUGAAAUGUUGACCUCGGAUCAGGUAGGAAUACCCGCUGAACUUAAGCAUAUCAAUAAGCGGAGGAA